UGAAACCGGGGUGGGCUGCGCGCGGCGGCCAGAGCGUGGAGCGCAGCGCGGGCGCCGGCGGGGACGGAUACUCCAGGCCCCUGGGGUCCCGCUGGGCGACAGCCCCCACACUGCUGAAGCUGCCAGGUCCCCCACCGCCAGGCUCCAAGAUGCCCCAGCACUCGACAGGGGACAAACCCUUCACCUCAAUGCUGCCAUUGACCUUCCCCAGCCCGGCGCCAGCGUUGGAAAACGGGGUUGAGCACAUGCCCCCCAUCGGGCGGGCGUCGCUGGGCUCGCCCCUGAGCCCCGGCUCCCUGUGCUCGGCCGCCCACAGCCCCCUGGACGCCUGCAGCCAGCCCCUGUGCGACUUUGAGAAGCGCGGAGCCCGCGUGGCCCACGAGAUGCGCUACGUCUCGGCCGGGCCACAGAGCACGGCGUGUGGCUGGCGGGCCUUCGCCCCCGCGUGUCUGCAGGCCUUCAACACGCCCAAGGGCUUCCUGCUCUUCCUGUGCGCGGCCUCGUUCCUGCAGGGCAUGACCGUGAACGGCUUCAUCAACACGGUCAUCACCUCCAUCGAGCGCCGCUUCGACCUGCACAGCUACCAGAGCGGGCUGGUGGCCAGCGCCUACGACAUCGCCGCCUGCCUCUGCCUCACCUUCGUCAGCUACUUCGGGGGCAGCGGGCACAAGCCGCGCUGGCUGGGCUGGGGCGUGCUGGUCAUGGGUGCCGGCUCGCUGGUGUUCGCGCUGCCCCACUUCACCGCCGGCCCCUACGAGGUGCAGGUGGACGCGGGGGUGGCCGCGUGCCCAGCCAACCACAGCACGGCGUGCGGGGGCCGCGCCUCGGGCCUGUCCGGCUACCGGCUGGUCUUCAUGCUGGGCCAGUUCCUGCACGGCGUGGGCGCCACGCCCCUCUACACGCUGGGCGUCACCUACCUGGACGAGAACGUCAAGUCCAGCUGCUCGCCCGUCUACAUCGCCAUCUUCUACACGGCAGCCAUCCUCGGGCCCGCCGCCGGCUACCUGAUCGGAGGUGCCAUGCUGAACAUCUACACGGACGUGGGCAGACGGACGGAGCUGACCCCGGAGAGCCCACUGUGGGUGGGCGCCUGGUGGAUCGGCUUCCUGGGCGCGGGGGCUGCUGCCUUCCUCAUCGCCGUCCCCAUCCUCGGCUACCCCCGACAGCUGCCAGGCUCCCAGCGCUACGUGGUCAUGAGGGCGUCGGAGACGCAGCAGCUGAAAGAGGACAGCCACGGGGCCACGAACAGCCCGGACUUCGGGAAAACCAUCCGAGAUCUGCCCCUCUCCCUCUGGCUACUCAUGAAGAACCCCACGUUCAUCCUGCUCUGCCUGGCAGGGGCCACGGAGGCCACGCUCAUCGCCGGCAUGUCCACAUUCGGCCCCAAGUUCCUCGAGUCCCAGUUCAGCCUGAGUGCCUCCGAAGCGGCCACCUUGUUUGGGUACCUGGUGGUGCCGGCAGGCGGCGGCGGCACAUUCCUGGGCGGCUUCUUCGUGAACAAGCUGAGGCUCCGUGGCCCCGGCAUCGUCCGGUUCUGCCUGCUGUGCGCCGUGGCCAGCCUGCUGGGCAUCUCCGUGUUCUCCCUGCACUGCCCCAACGUGCCCAUGGCGGGCGUCACGGACAGCGGUGGCAGGAGCCUCCUGCCCGAAGGCCGCCCCAACCUGACAACGGCCUGCAACGCCGCCUGCGGCUGCCGCCCAGAGCACUACAGCCCCGUGUGUGGCUCGGACGGCGUCACCUACUACUCGCCCUGCCACGCGGGCUGCCAUGCAGCCACCGCGACCGGCCCGGGCGGCCAGAAGGUGUACCGAGACUGUAGCUGUCCUCAGAAUCUGUCCUCUGGCUUGGGCCAGGCCACCGCAGGGACAUGCACUUCCGCUUGUCAGAGAAAGCCCCUCCUCCUGGGUUUCGUUUUCGUUGUAAUUUUCUUUACGUUCCUCAGCAGCAUCCCCGCGCUCACGGCGACGCUACGGUGUGUCUGUCACCGGCAGAGAUCCUUUGCCCUGGGAAUCCAGUGGAUUGUAGUUAGAACACUAGGGGGCAUCCCGGGGCCCAUUGCCUUCGGCUGGGUGAUCGACAAGGCAUGUCUGCUGUGGGAGGACCAGUGUGGCCGCCAAGGCUCCUGCCUGGCGUACUGGAACUCGGCCAUGAGCCGCUACAUGCUCAUCAUGGGGCUGUUGUACAAGGGGCCUUGGCGGAGGGCGAGUGGCAUUAGUUUCCGCGCCCGCGAGCCUGACUCACGUUUCUCAAGCUGCCCAGAGAAACUUCCUGCUGUCACUCUUGGCGUGUGCUACCCAGGAAGAAAUGUGGUACUUAUAUUUUGAAUUUCCCCCAUUAGAGGAAAAAUCACAAAACCUUCAAGAUAAAAUGGAACCCCAGGGCCAGCUACCGAGAGGGUCUCGAGGCUCUUCCGUGGGGGGCAGACACCCAGGUUCUGCGUGUGGAGCCUGUGGCCCAGGCGCUGCGGGGACGGAGCCUCGGGGAGCAGGGGAGGGGACAGACCAGCCGGCUUGUCUCCCUGGUCAGCCCCCUGUGGCAGCGCAGUGGUGAGCUCACAGGGACGCACAGCCGCCCCUCGAAUCCGAGAGGUCAGUUCUCUAGGUUUCAGUUACCUGAGGUCAACCGAGGUCUGAAAAUGUUAAAUGAAAAAUUCCAGGAACAGCAAUUCGUAAGUUUUAAGUUGCACACCGUUCUGUGUAAUGGGAUGAAAUCUUGCGUCCCGCCCAGGACGGGGUCUGUGCAGGGUCUCCACGCCGCAGACGCUCCUGCCUCUCUGUCACUUGUGGCCGGUGUGGUUGUCAGAUCCGCAGGCAGGCGUCACUGUUGAGGGGCUGUGUUCUCAUAACUGUCAGCCUAAAAUAAUCAAAAGUCUCAGAUCCAGUUAAAAGAGUUUAUUCAAGGGCAAAGUUUGAGGGGGGCCAUCCGGGGACACACGAACACCAAAGAGUGGUGACCAGCACUCCCGGGGCAGGGACAGUGAGGACGGCUGACACAGGCAGUUACGUCUUAGCACAAAGGCCGGCAUCUGGCGUGAGACUCGGUUGGCUGCUGUUGACCCUGCUCUCAAGAGGGUGCUUGACAGUCUGUCGUUCGGAGGUGGCCCCCGCAGGUGCUCGGCGUCCGCGACCGAGCUGGGGUUGGCAGAGGCCCCGAGAGCCCGGCUGACAGGUGAGGUUUCAGCAUGGAGGGCGAAGGCCAGGGUCAGGCACAGAGAAGAAAAGCAGCCAGGCUGCGUCUGCCGUCCCCAGCCCUGGUGGCCUGUUAGGAACCAGGCAGAGCAGGAGGCGAGCGCUGGGGCAGCAAAGGGUCCCCUGUCUCUGCGGCCGCUCCCCACCACUGAGGCCCGCCCUGUCAGGUCAGCGGCGUUGGAUCCUCACAGGAGCGCGACCCCGCUGUGCCCUGCACGUGUGAGGGGUCUGGGCCGCGGCCGCUUGUGCGAAUGUAACGCCGAUGAGCUGCGGUGGAGCGCGGGCGCUGACUGGCAGAGGUCUGACGGCACGGAGACCGCCGUAGAUCGAUCGCUCUCAGACCGCGUGCAAACCCAGCUGUGAGCGCAGGUGGCGAAGUGACGACAACAGAAAUAAAGAGCACGAAUCUAAUGGGCUUGAACCAUCCCGAAACCACCCCCGCCACCCCUGCUCUGUGGGAAACUGACUUCCAUCAAACCCGUCGCUGGGGCCAAAGAGGUGCUUGGCCUCCUCUUCUUCUCCGCCGCCUGCUUCCUGUACCGGCCCCUGGCAGCGUCUUCAGAUGGCCUGGAAGCUUCUCUGCCC